ACUCCUGCGGGAGGCAGCAGUGGGGAAUUUUACGCAAUGGGGGAAACCCUGACGUAGCGACACCGCGUGAGCGAAGAAGCCCUUUGGGGUGUAAAGCUCUGUCAGCUGGAACGAAAACAAUGACGGUACCAGCAGAGGAAACAUCGGCUAACUACGUGCCAGCAGCCGCGGUAAGACGUAGGAUGCGAGCGUUGUCCGGAUUUAUUGGGCGUAAAGAGUUCGUAGGGGGUUUGUUAAGUUUGGUGUUAAAGAUCGGGGCUCAACCCUGGGACUGCACUGAAUACUGGCAGACUCGAGUGUGGUAGAGGGGAGUGGAAUUCCCAGUGUAGCGGUGAAAUGCGUAGAUAUUGGGAAGAACACCGGUGGCGUAGGCGACUAUCUGGGCCAUAACUGACGCUGAGGGACGAAAGCCAGGGGAGCGAAUGGGAUUAGAAACCCUUGUAGUCCCAUG
rnacentral:rRNA from 1 species